GGCAGCCACGUACUCCUUUGCCAUGGCUGAUGACGACUGCGGGGCGCGGGGUAACCGGACGGCGUGAUGUGCGUGCCGCGUUACGAUAAUUCAUUUUUUCGCCGUCGCUCUCUGCUUCACUCCGGUCGUCUAUCGUUUUUCAAAAUUCUGUUUCUGUCGUUCGGACCGAGGCAGUUGUUGUGCAACUAAUAAUUGCAUUACGGCUGCCUUGGUCUGGACUCGGUGUUGCCGAACGUUUUUGUUCCUGUGCAGAUGCGGAGUCGAAAGUCAACGUACAUGUUUCUGUACAUCAAUCAAAAUAUGAGCAGAAGAAAAUUCAAGACAGCAGCCGAACGUCCAAUAACACACUCAAUCUCAAAUCUAAUCCGUUGUUUUCAUCAUCCAAUGUGGUCAUGGUAAUUGAAUCCUAAACAAAUACAUUUUUGUGUGCGUACUUCAGAUAUGUAAUUCCACUGAUCCUGUAGCAGCCUUACUAAUCCGAGAUGAAAUUGUUUUUA